rnacentral:rRNA from 1 species
UAUGUGAUCGUCUCUCGCAUAUCAAUAAGCGGAGGAAAAGAAACUAACAAGGAUUCCCCUAGUAACGGCGAGUGAAGCGGGAAGAGCUCAAAUUUGAAAUCUUAAAGGGUUUCCCUUUACGAAUUGUAGUUUAAAGAAGUGUUUUCUGUUGAGGUUUUGGUAAGAGUUCUUUGGAAUAGGACAUCAUAGAGGGUGAGAAUCCCGUAUUUGACCUUUACUUUCAACUUUGUGAUACACUUUCAAAGAGUCGGAUUGUUUGGGAAUGCAGUCCAAAAUGGGUGGUAAAUUUCAUCUAAAGCUAAAUAUUGGCGAGAGACCGAUAGCGAACAAGUACCGUGAGGGAAAGAUGAAAAGAACUUUGAAAAGAGAGUUAAACAGUACGUGAAAGUUGUCAAAAGGGAAGCGUUUGACACCAGUGUUGUUUUUCUGAAAAUCAAUUAAAGAACUGUUUAUGCUAAGUUGUUUAGACUUUAUCAGCUAUCUGUUUAGUUUUGAGCUUUUCUUUAAUGCACUUUUCAGUUAACAAGUCAACAUCAAUUUCUUUUGCUGUAAAAAAGCUUGAGGAAGGUGGCUUGAGAUUCGUCUUAAGUGUUUAUAGCCUCUUGCCUAUGCAGUCGGAGAGAUUGAGGUCUGCAGCGUAGAUCCUUCGGGGCUAAAUGCAGUUUGUGCUGAAGUUAUAGCAUUUUAUAGACAACUUGUUGACUAUGAUUUGUCUUGUAGCUUACUCGCUUAUGUUAUUUUACCUACGCUUAGGAUGUUGAAGACUCUACAGAGAUA